rnacentral:rRNA from 1 species
AACGAACGCUGGCGGCAUGCCUAACACAUGCAAGUCGAACGAAGGCUUCGGCCUUAGUGGCGCACGGGUGCGUAACGCGUGGGAACCUGCCCCUCGGUUCGGAAUAACAGUUAGAAAUGACUGCUAAUACCGGAUGAUGACUUCGGUCCAAAGGUUUAUCGCCGAGGGAUGGGCCCGCGUAGGAUUAGCUAGUUGGUGGGGUAAAGGCCUACCAAGGCGACGAUCCUUAGCUGGUCUGAGAGGAUGAUCAGCCACACUGGGACUGAGACACGGCCCAGACUCCUACGGGAGGCAGCAGUGGGGAAUAUUGGACAAUGGGCGCAAGCCUGAUCCAGCCAUGCCGCGUGAGUGAUGAAGGCC